rnacentral:other from 1 species
GGCAUCCUGCCCGGUUCGAUUUGUUGCAGUCUGAAAAAUCCUACUAAUCAAUUAAAGGGAGCACGGGUCUCCCGGCAGAUCGCAGACCUCCCGCCCUCGGGCGGACGAAGGGAGCGUGAACCCGGGGGCAGGGCACCCACCUGCCAUACCGGUAGGUUUGAUUUGGCUGCAGACGGCCAUGGCGGGAUAGGU